GAGUUUGAUCCUGGCUCAGGAUGAACGCUGGCGGCGUGCUUAACACAUGCAAGUCGAACGAUUGAAGCUGGAGCUUGCUCCGGCCGAUUUAGUGGCGGACGGGUGAGUAACGCGUGGGUAACCUGCCUCAUACAGGGGGAUAGCAGCUGGAAACGGCUGAUAAAACCGCAUAAGCGCACAGCAUCGCAUGAUGCAGUGUGAAAAACUCCGGUGGUAUGAGAUGGACCCGCGUCUGAUUAGCUUGUUGGUGAGGUAACGGCCCACCAAGGCGACGAUCCAUAGCCGACCUGAGAGGGUGACCGGCCACAUUGGGACUGAGACACGGCCCAAACUCCUACGGGAGGCAGCAGUGGGGAAUAUUGCACAAUGGGCGAAAGCCUGAUGCAGCGACGCCGCGUGAGCGAAGAAGUAUUUCGGUAUGUAAAGCUCUAUCAGCAGGGAAGAUAAUGACGGUACCUGACUAAGAAGCACCGGCUAAAUACGUGCCAGCCGCCGCGGUAAUUC
rnacentral:rRNA from 1 species